GUUCUUGUAGUUGAAUACAACAGUGGUUUUUCAAGUCAUUAGUCUUGGUUAGAGUCCGAGCAGGAAUU
rnacentral:tRNA from 1 species